GCGGGGGUCGUCACCAAGGGCCAAGCCACAGAACCAUAGAGCCAGCUGCAAAGAAGACGCGUGCCCAACCCAGUCCCUUGCCAGAGCCCCUCUGGGUCUUCAGACACCCAAACUCAGGCCCGGGCUCAGAGGCGGGGGCUGGUCAGAGGACACAGCCUGGGAGGAAGCCAGCAGUGAGCUCCACCAGGACCGCAGCUGGGGUGCCAGAGGCUCCAAGGACUGCCCAGGACAAGAGAGAGGUGGCUGGUGGGGCUCAGAGCAGCCCCUGACUCCCCAGGCUCAGGCUUCUCUGGGCUGGGGUUGUGUCUCUUGCCUGGGCAGGGGCAGGGACCCCAGACACCUGAGCCUGCAGGUCCUCCUGUGUUCUGAUGGGUGUGGGGGGCUGCGCUGCCUG
rnacentral:lncRNA from 1 species